AAUGAACGCUGGCGGCGUGCCUAACACAUGCAAGUCGAAUGUGCCGCAAGGUGCAUGGCAGACGGGUGAGUAACGCGUGGGCAAUCUACCUUUUCGUGGGGAAUAACGAUCCGAAAGGAUUGGUAAUACCGCAUGAGACCAAUGGCUGGGAUGCUGUUGGUGAAACCUGGGGACCGCAAGGCCUGGGGCGAAAAAGAGGAGCCUGCGUCUGAUUAGCUAGUUGGCGGGUAACGGCCCACCAAGGCUUCGAUCAGUAGCCGGCCUGAGAGGGUGAUCGGCCACACUGGAACUGAGACACGGUCCAGACUCCUACGGGAGGCAGCAGUGGGGAAUUUUGCGCAAUGGACGAAAGUCUGACGCAGCAACGCCGCGUGGGUGAUGAAGGUCUUCGGAUUGUAAAACCCUGUCGUCGAGGACGAAGGUCGGAGUGUUAAUAGCGCUUUGGCUUGACGGUACUCGGAGAGGAAGCCCCGGCUAACUCUGUGCCAGCAGCCGCGGUAAU
rnacentral:rRNA from 1 species